UAAUUAUGUUCUUUGUUUCAGAUUGUCUAUAAAAUUGGUAUGCCUUACUUUUUGAAAUAAUAAGACUUUUUACUGCUAUGUUGACUACAUUAAUUUUCAGCUAACCAAAGUUUGUUUAGGCUCUUAAUGACGCAGAGAAGUUGUUUCAAGAUGCUAUAGACGAUUCAAUACCUUAAGAGCAAGAGCUAUGCUGCUAUAUCUGUAAGUGAUUUGCUGUUAUAUAUUUUUCAUUUCUAUAAGUUCACCUUUUUGUAACUGUGACAUCUUUAAAGCUAUUUACUAAUUGUGUAAUGCUUAGAUUCUAAUUUUUUGGGCAAUGCAUGGAAAAUAUGGACUAGCACAAAUGAAAUAGCGGGUGAAUACGAGAAAUAACAUGAGUUUUACAUUGCAUAAUUACACAUAUAAAUAAAGGAAUAUGAAACUAGCACAAAUGGUUAGAUUCUAAUAUCAUGCAUGUUUAUAAAGGAAUGUGAUUAAAAUCCUAGCCUAACCUUGAGUUGUAUAGCUAUAGAUGGACAUAAACCAAUAAAACUAUUUGUCAUGGCUAUAGAAGCUGAAACUAAAUAAGAAUCAUAAGUCAUAACUAAAUGACUAAGUUUCAAGCUUAACAUAAAUGAUUGUGAAUUGUGAAGGUGCAUUCUUUUAUCCUUAGUUGCAUUCUUUGAAGUACCAGUUCCGGAGCAUGGUACCUGGUACGUGUUACGUUUGUUAAAUGAUGGAACUAUGUAACUAUGCUUUAUCUCCCUCUGAGAGCGGCAACACGAGCUGCCAAGUCAUCAUAAUCCUCCGGUAGAUUAGGAUGCACACGCCCUCUACCAACCUUGAACUCUUGAUCUAAGGACAUUUUUCUUGCAUGCCAUGUUGAUGUUUCUACUGCAUUUGUGGGUUCAGUAGGAAGAGAUGUACCUCUCACAUAUGAUCUUUUACCCUUUCUGUUGCAUUUCAUUAAAUUGUUUUUACCUCUAUCUAUUGUAUUUUGUUUUCGGUAAGGUGGUGGAAUAAGCCAAUAGGAAGAUGGGCUCUUAAUUUGUACUUCAUCAUCAGAAGUGCUUCCCAAUGAAAUUGAACUAGAUUUUGUGCCAUCCAUUGAUGACAUAUCUGUACUUGCUUCAUCUUCACUACUGCUUUGUUGAAUCCAUGUUUCACCAUUGAAAUCCUUCUUUCCUUGAGAGGUAGUGUUUCUUUCUUUUCCUUUAGACUUAUUGUAAUCACUUUCAUCUCUGUGUUUAUCAACCUUAGGCCUCUCCUGAAGACAAUAGUAUUAUUUCAUUGGUAGUUGUAUCAUAAUCAAUUCAAACUAGUAAAUUUGAAGGCUUACUAUUACUCCAUGUAGAGAUUGUGCAUAAAGUGUUUUCUCCAAAGCCUUAUCAUCCCACUCUAUAGAGAACUCUUGUGCUAUAUCAUACAAUAAUUUAAUCUUCAUUUCUCUUGUUGGAGGAUCUCUGCUCAACUUCUCAACAAACUAAGGAAAAUAAAUUAUUCAAUUUUAGAUACAAAGUUUACAUUCACAUGAAAAUUAUGAAUAAGUAUGUGCUAUAAGGUGUGUUAUAAUUGGUUUACCUCUUUAUUUAUAUAAGGUUCAAGUGAAUUCCCAAAUUUCUCAGUAAACAAAGUUCUGAAGUCACGCAAUUCUGGCAAAUCAGCAAAUCUUGCUGCAGCAUAUAUCAAUGAUGGUAUAGCUUCUUUGCAUUCAUCAGGACAAUCCCUGUUUAAGAAGGUUAGAAUAUUGUCAUUAUAAAUCCCGUAAAUGCGUUACAAAUACAACAACAAUCAACAAUCGAGUCUUUAUUCCACUAUCUGAAC
rnacentral:lncRNA from 1 species